AGAAAUGCAAGUCGAACGGAUCAGCAGCAAUGCUGGUUAGUGGCGAACGGUCGCGUAACACGUGGGCAACCUGCCCUGAAGCGGGGGACAACAACUCGAAAGAGUUGCUAAUACCGCAUGUGAAUUGCUUUGGCAUCAAGGCGUAUUCAAAGCCGCAAGGCACUUCAGGAUGGGCCCGCGGCCUAUCAGCUAGUUGGUGAGGUAACGGCCCACCAAGGCUUCGACGGGUAGCUGGUCUGAGAGGACGAUCAGCCGGAUUGGGACUGAGAUACGGCCCAGACUCCUACGGGGGGCAGCAAUUAGGAAUCUUGCGCAAUGGGCGAAAGCCUGACGCAGCGACGUCGCGUGAAGGAUGAAAUCUUUCGGGAUGUAAACUUCUUUUACCAGGGAAGAAUAAUGACGGUACCUGGUGAAUAAGCCCCGGCUAACUACGUGCCAGCAGCCGCGGUAAUACGUAGGGGGCGAGCGUUGUCCGAAGUUACUGGGCGUAAAGAGCGCGUAGGCGGGUUCUUAAGUGAGGGGUGAAAGUCCGAGGCUCAACCUCGGAACUGCCUUUCAUACUGGGAACCUUGGGUGCGGGAGAGGCGAGUGGAAUGGUCGGUGUAGCGGUGAAAUGCGUAGAUAUCGAUCGGAACACCCAUGGCGAAAGCAGCUCGCUGGGCCUGUAACUGACGCUGAGGCGCGAAAGCGUGGGGAGCAAACAGGAUUAGAUACCCUGGUAGUCC
rnacentral:rRNA from 1 species